rnacentral:lncRNA from 1 species
UUCUCGGAUGUGAUCCUGUUGAACUCGAUCAGAACAAUAAGAAUCUGAUCAUCUACAUGGAUGCCAUGCAGAGGACCAACUCUGUUUAGUGGCUUGGAGCCAUAAUGUCCGAAAUGGAGUCUAUGAAGAUCAAUGGUUUAUGGACACUCAUUGAUCCACUCAAAGGGGUAAAACCUAUAGAGUGUAAGUGGAUCUUCAAU